rnacentral:lncRNA from 1 species
GGGGGGGGACAGCACCCUAUACAUCAUGGUUUAUAUUCAAAUUCCAAAGAACCGAUAUGGGACAAUUCAUUACAUGUGAGGAGGGGGGAGGGGGAGAAAUAAUAGAGAGGAGGGAGGGGGGAAGAAAACGUCUUGGAGAAAACCAAUGGAAGAACACGACGGCGACGGCGGCGUCAUAAAUACAUAUUUUCUUCACAGGGACCCGGACGAGCAGGAAAGACCCAAAAUACACAGAGAGGAGAGAGAAAGAAUGGCAAAUCGAGGGACACGGGGAUACUUGUACAGGCCUUGGGGCGAUCAUGCCGCUCCCUCGGUCGGCUUCGCCGGCUCUGGGGCCGCCGGCGGAGCGGCGGCGGUCUUCUCCUCGACGACCGGAGGAGCCUCAGGAGGCGCAGGGGUCUCGGUUUCUACCUUCUUCUCCUCUUCCGUAGACACCACCACCUCCUUAUCCUUGCUGGUGCCCUCCUCCGCCGGCGCUGCGGGCGCUUCUUCUGUGGUGGCGGCGACCUCUGGCUCCGCCGCCUUGGGCUCCUCCGCCGGGAGGAAGACGGCAGCCUUCUCGAACACGAAGAAGACGGGGCCGGUGACGAGGGCAGGCCCGAACUUGGUGGAAGCCUCACUGACAGCCUUGGCCCCGGGGAACUCUGCAGAUUACAACGUCCACCACCGGAAAACGUUAACAGGACGUUAACAGGAGACCCCUUCCAACCCAUCGCAAUUUCGAUUCUUACCUAUUUUAACCAGCUCCUCCAGGAACUUGUUGACGCCUGCCGCGUGCUUCUUCACCCCGGCCUCCGUAGGCUCCUUCACCAGAGUCUGCGGGGAGACGAAGGGAAACAUAUCUCAAUACUCAGGCAUACUACCACAGCUUUCGUUAAUUAAUCCGCCCAUGCUCCUGUUCCUCCAGAGAUUGAUCCAGAGUAGGUAGUAGAGACGCGUCUGUGGAAGAAAGAGGGAGAGAGGGAGAGCGAGAGAGAGAAGCGGCGAACCUUGAUCUCGGUCGAGGUGGUUCCAUAGAUCUCGAUCACCUUGGGCUCCAGCUCCGUCUUCUUCUCG